GCUGGGUGUGGUGGCGCAUGCCUGUAAUCUCAGCUACUCGGGAGGCUGAGGCAGGAGAAUUGCUUGAACCCAGGAGGCAGAGAUUGUGGUGAGCCGAGAUUGUGCCACUACACUCCAGCCUGGGUAACAGAGUGAAACUCUGUCUCAA
rnacentral:sRNA from 1 species